rnacentral:rRNA from 1 species
AUUGAACGCUGGCGGCAUGCCUUACACAUGCAAGUCGAACGGCAGCACGGGAGCAAUCCUGGUGGCGAGUGGCGAACGGGUGAGUAAUAUAUCGGAACGUGCCCAGUCGUGGGGGAUAACGCAGCGAAAGCUGUGCUAAUACCGCAUACGAUCUACGGAUGAAAGCGGGGGAUCGCAAGACCUCGCGCGAUUGGAGCGGCCGAUAUCAGAUUAGCUAGUUGGUGAGGUAAAGGCUCACCAAGGCGACGAUCUGUAGCUGGUCUGAGAGGACGACCAGGCACACUGGAACUGAGACACGGUCCAGACUCCUACGGGAGGCAGCAGUGGGGAAUUUUGGACAAUGGGCGCAAGCCUGAUCCAGCAAUGCCGCGUGCAGGAUGAAGGCCUUCGGGUUGUAAACUGCUUUUGUACGGAACGAAACGGUGAGCUCUAAUACAGUUUGCUAAUGACGGUACCGUAAGAAUAAGCACCGGCUAACUACGUGCCAGCCGCCGCAGUAAUAC